UACAUAUAAAGAUGACAUAACUGGCAUUGCAAAUACUGAUGUUGGCACUGAUGCUGAUGCUGAUGCUGGUGCUGAUACUGAUGCUGAUACUGGUGCUGAUACUGGUGCUAAUGCUGGUGCUGAUACUGGUGCUAAUGCUGGUGCUGAUAUUGGUGCUAAUGCUGGUGCUGAUACUGGUGCUAAUGCUGGUGCUGAUGCUGAUGCUAAUGCUGGUGCUAUUACCCCUGUCAAAACUACUAACAUUAGAACUCCUAUUAAUGCCACAAUUAAUAACAAACAAAAGGAACCACCUAAAAAAAGCAUUCUGUUGGAAAACAUGUCUGAUGGUUACUUUAUCCCAACUCAUUAUAAUUUCUUUUUAAGUUCAGAAAGGAAUUUAUGUUAUUUAGUAAAGAAUAAAGAUAAUCGUAUGUACAAUAAUAUAUACUCAGAUAUCAUAAAAAUUAUAAACAGAAAAACUGAGUAUAUACCAAAUAAGAAUGGAAAUAAAAACGAGUCAGAAGUAGGACAAACCAUUAACCGGAUGCAAAACGAACAUACAAACAAUUUACUUGACCCAUCUCAUUUUUUUCAAAAUAAUUGUAAUAUGUUAUACAGUGAAUCACCAAGAAAGGUUUUUAAUCACAAACAUGUUAAACACAUUAAUAGAGACAUGUAUAAUACACCAUCAAGUAAAAAAGGAAGUACAAUACCAGAUAUAAAUAAUAUAACUUCAAGUAUAAAUAAUUUUAAACAAUUUAAUCAGUCUCAUAUAUAUGAUAGUAAUCUAAACUUCACACAUAACAAUAUCCCUCACCAAACACACAGUCGCAAUGAUAAUCAUCCUUAUUUAUUACCAAAUGAUGCAAAACUUCCUAUCCAAUUUUUUAACACAGGUAAUGGUAUAAAUAGUUUUGAUUGUAGGAAAUCUUGGAACUGUAAUCCAAAAUUAACCGUAAAGAUUAAUGAUAGUCACGAUUUCCGACAGUUUUAUUAUAGUUCCAAAAAAAUAAAAGUAGACAAACCAAAAGAGACAAAAAAUGGGAAAAAUAAAAACGGGCAAGUAAAAAACGGGCAAGCAAAAAACGGGCAAGCAAAAAACGGGCAAGUAAAAAACGGGCAAGUAAAAAACGGGCAAGUAAAAAACGGGCAAGCAAAAAACGGACAAGCAAAAAACGGACAAAUUAGUAAACAAUCAUCUUUUAAUUGUACCGAUUUGUUAAAAGAAAAAAAUAAUGCUAUUUUAAAUAGUGGAACUCAUAUGAAUAACAUAUAUGAAUAUGAAAACCUCUUUUCAUCACACUUAAAAAUAAACAAGGGGUAUAAUAAUAAUGAUAGUGACACCGAUAGUGAUAGUAAUAACAAAGACAUUGAGACGAAUCGUGAGGACUGCAUCGAGAGUAAUCAUAGUCCCGACAUUAACAUUAGGCUAAGCAAAAAUCAGAACACCUUCCCACCUGGAAAUUAUGAAAAUAAUAUUUGUCAACAAAAUGAUAUUAUUAUAAAAAAUAAAUAUGACUAUACACAACUGGUUCAAAAAAAUAUGUACAUAUCAUAUAAUAGUGGAGAAGCAUAUAACCAUAAUUUUAAAAAUACUUAUGAUAAGAAUAAUGACAUAAUAAACGAUAUUAUUACUACUGAUUCAACUAAUCCUGUGUGUCAAAAAAAUAACAGCGACUACUACUACAAGAGUAACGAUAACUCGGUACAUAUUAAUCCACUCUUAAAUAUCAACAGUAAUCCCUUUGAACAAAAAAAAACACCUGAUAAUGCAAAAGUACACACAGAAAGCUUAUACAAAUGUAUUGAGUUUAUAAAAAAUAUUGGAAAAAAAAAUUCUGAAAACAUAAAGAAAGAAUUGGUCACUUCUAAUAAUUAUCAUAGGGGGGAUAUAACAUCGGAAGAAACAACAACAGAAACAAUUACCACAUCUUUUGAUCUUAAUUAUAAAAUAAAAAGAAGAAUGGAAAAAACCAAAAUAACAAAAAA
rnacentral:lncRNA from 1 species